rnacentral:rRNA from 1 species
AUGACUGUUGUUCUUUGGGAGCUUGGAGGAAGUGAUGAGUAUUCGCUCCUCGAAUCCUUGAAACAAGGAAAGGUCGAGAAACCUGUUGUUGCUUGGGUUAGUGGGACGUGUGCACGUCUGUUGAAAUUUGAUUCCAGUUUUGCCAUGGGUGCGGUGAGUAGUGGUGGUGAGUUGGAAUCUACACAAGCUAAGAAUCAGGCACUAAGGGAUGUUGGGGCUGUUGUUCCUACUUCAUUUGAAGCUCUUGAAAGGAUUAAAGAUUUCAGAAGCUGGUACGUUGAGGAAGGAAAAAUUCCUCCUAUCCCCGAGGUUAAACCUCCCCCCAUUCCUGAAGAUCUUAAAACUGCCAUUGAAAGUGGGAAGGUCUGAGCUCUUACAAUUAUCUCCACUAUCUCUGAUGAUAGAGGUUAG